rnacentral:rRNA from 1 species
GAUGAACGCUGGCGGCGUGCCUAAUACAUGCAAGUCGAGCGAACAGAUAAGGAGCUUGCUCCUUUGACGUUAGCGGCGGACGGGUGAGUAACACGUGGGUAACCUACCUAUAAGACUGGGAUAACUUCGGGAAACCGGAGCUAAUACCGGAUAACAUUUGGAACCGCAUGGUUCUAAAGUGAAAGAUGGUUUUGCUAUCACUUAUAGAUGGACCCGCGCCGUAUUAGCUAGUUGGUAAGGUAACGGCUUACCAAGGCAACGAUACGUAGCCGACCUGAGAGGGUGAUCGGCCACACUGGAACUGAGACACGGUCCAGACUCCUACGGGAGGCAGCAGUAGGGAAUCUUCCGCAAUGGGCGAAAGCCUGACGGAGCAACGCCGCGUGAGUGAUGAAGGGUUUCGGCUCGUAAAACUCUGUUAUUAGGGAAGAACAAACGAGUAAGUAACUGUGCACGUCUUGACGGUACAUAAUCAGAAAGCCACGGCUAACUACGUG